ensembl:lncRNA
CAUGACUUUGACAAAUAUUGCCUCUUGAAGAUGCCACUUCCUCUGCAGCUUUGGCCAUGUCCACUGACAUCUGGCUAUCACAGCCUUACCUGACCCCCUUGCAAUGCCCAGUUCCCUAAAACAGAAGGGGAUCCCAGCGCACCAUGGUAUGGUUCUGAUCUCUGCUCCCUUCUAGAUUGGGAUCGUGACAUGGAAUAUCUGGAAAUGCUGGUAAAUGGUGGUUUGAACACCUUGACAGAGGCUGGAGGCAAGUUCUCAAUGUCCCUUUCUGCACAGUAUAAUCAGUGUCAGUGUGGCAAGAGCUCACUCAUGUGCCAUUUCCCUUAAGAGUCUGAAGGUUGAUGGAUUGUGGAAACCUUGCCCUGCUCCCUUCUGGAGCUCUGAGUGAUCCCACAGCAUCAGUGGGAGGAAGGAUAAUUUAGAUGUCAAUUCUCUUCCCAUGUUCAAUGCCAGUGUCUCUUUCCAUGUGCUCUGUGCAGCCAUGGAGAAGAACAGAGAGGGAAGGAGCCAGGCCCAGGGCUGUGUCCUGGGGCUGUGCCUUAUGCAGCUCCUUUGCCAACCUCAGGGAGCCUGAGCUGCUCUCGCUGCCACUGCCAAGCCCUGGCCUUGCCUGGGGCUCAGUUCAGAGCUGCUGGCAGCACAAGGGUGUCCUUUCUCCCCUGACUGCCAUGCAAGGGGCUCCUUCCAUCCCAGUGUGGGGCCACUGCAGGCACGUGGUCCCCCUGCCCCUGCUCCUGAAUGGAAGGCAGAGAUGAGGGAGUGCCUUGGAGGACAGCAGUCAUCCAGGUGCACUCACUGCCACUCCAGACCGAAGGAGAAUUCUCAGCACAGUCACGGGAGCUAUUCUAUCCUACCUUUCUUUGCAGAUCAACUUGAUGAUGAUGAUGAUGAUGAUCUGGAUUUCCAACCCAUAUCAGUUGCUGAGCCUGGUGAUGAGGAGGCUGAUGAGGGUAGGUCAAGGCCUUUCCCCCAGGGAGAGUGGCCAGCUCAGAGCCCAGAGCUCGGUCAGGGCGGCAUCGCUGCAGGUGCCAGGACAGAGUUCUGCACGUGUGUGCCCUCGGCCUGAGCGAUCCCCUCACCUCUCCUGCAGCUCAGUGCUGCCUGUGCACAUCAGCAGAGAUGACAGAAGCUUCUGUGGCUGUUCAGUUACAGGUGUGUCUGCAGGGAGGACUUUCCCAGCUCCUGGGAUGGUUACUGCACAAAAGCCCAGGUCCCAUCGGAGGGAUUCAGCCGGCACCACAACUCAUGCUCAGAAUAUCUGGGAAAGCAUGAGAAGAAUUUUCAGCCCAGGAACACAUGGUUUGAUUAAGCUAAUGGCCAUUUUGGUUGCUGGAGCCCUUUUCCUGAUGAUGUGCUGUGCUGGAAUCUGGUAUUGCUGGAACAGAAAACGGUGAGUGUUUUGCUGAUCUCUACCUCAAACCAAUUCUUGAAAGGCUGCUCAUAGUAAACAUUCCCAGUGAGGCUGCUGUGGAGCUGUGGAUAGUCCUUAGUUGCCCAAAUAAUUCUGCUGAGAGUUCUGCUGCUGCCCAGGCCUUUCAUUGGCCUCUUAAAUGCUGGGCCUUGUCCUGGGGAGCCCGCUUGUGCUGCAUCCAGUGCUGGCUGCCACGGAGGCUGCCUGGCCAAGAGCAGCCCCAGGAGCAGCAGGCAGAGGCAAUGCAUGGUGGGCAGGAGAAAGAGCAGGGAAGAGAUUGCCCUUGAAAGGCAGAGGCGCUCUGGGGCCUGCUCCUGGCCAGGGACCCUGCCCAGAACCAUCCCCUGCUCGCCGGGGCCUUGAGGGGCAGCUGUCCAGCUGGGCCAAGCUGUGUCAGCAGCUCCAGCCGUGCUGGGGAGCCUUGGCCGCUCUGGGCCCUGCUGUGCAGGAGGGGCCCUGUGUGCCAGUGGCAGCUGGGAGCCUCAGCCACCUCCUCUCUCCACAGGAGCACAUCUGCACCUUCAGAAGACCUAUGAAAGACUUUAGUCAAUGAGAAGUUGACCUGUCUUUCUCACUCUUUACCUCUGACCCCAUCUGCUGUUGUCCUGGUGCAGCCCUGUCUUGAGGGCAUCCCAACACCCACACCUCCAAAGCCAUACCCUCUCACCCUGAGCCCCCUGUCCCUGCACCCUGGCCAGGACUGAAGGUGGGCAGCCCCUGUCCACCAGAGCAGGCCUUGGCCCAUGUUUUAUUUUCAAAUAAAGAAAUGAAACUGUCACCCCA